AAGAAAGAAAAAAGAAAAAAAUACGAUGUUUUCUUAAUAUUUAAACGUAUUUAAUACUUUAGUUAUUUUUAACACGAUUGAAAAGUUGAUCCGAUAAUAUAUCAACGAUAAUCUGGUAAUUUAUCAGAACUAAGCACCCCAUGUUCUACAAGGUGUAGUGCAUAAUCAGAUGAAAUAUCGUUUACCAUAAAUAUUUCUCAUACUGAUAACCGUUCUAUUCAGAAACACUUUGUAUAUGUUCUUUCAUUACUUGUUGUAUAAACUGUGGCUGACGCAAACGGGAAAAAGCUCAGGCAGAUGGCCGUUCCUUAUCGUUCGAUGCAAAUUACAAAUUUUCCAUUAUAACUGGCAGUUUGAUUAUGAAUUGGACAAAUAUUAACUCAUGACGCGAAAAAAAUGUAUCUGAAAUAAUCGUGUGAAUAAGCAGAAGAUUUUAACU
rnacentral:misc_RNA from 1 species